AGAACGAACGCUGGCGGCAUGCCUAAUACAUGCAAGUCGAACGAACACUUCGGUGUUAGUGGCGCACGGGUGCGUAACGCGUGGGAAUCUGCCCUUGGGUUCGGAAUAACAGUUGGAAACGACUGCUAAUACCGGAUGAUAUCGAAAGAUCAAAGAUUUAUCGCCCAGGGAUGAGCCCGCGUAGGAUUAGCUAGUUGGUGAGGUAAAGGCUCACCAAGGCGACGAUCCUUAGCUGGUCUGAGAGGAUGAUCAGCCACACUGGGACUGAGACACGGCCCAGACUCCUACGGGAGCAGCAGUAGGGAAUAUUGGACAAGUGGGCGCAAGCCUGAUCCAGCAAUGCCGCGUGAGUGAUGAAGGUCCGUUAGGGUUGUAAAGUCUUACUUUUACCCGAGUAUAGAAUAAGUGAACGAGUAGUACGGAAG
rnacentral:rRNA from 1 species